GUCUAUGGCCAUGCCACCCUGAACAAGCCCGAUCCCACGUGAUCUCAGAAGCUAAGCAGGGUCGGGCCUGGUUAGUACUUGGAUGGGAGACCACCUAGGAAGACCAGGUGCUGUAGGUG
rnacentral:rRNA from 1 species